GCUGGGGAUGUGGCUCAGUGAUUAAUGGUAGUGCACCCCUGAAGUCCUUGCUCCUUGGAGGUCUGAGGCCGGAAGAUCACUUGAGCCCAGGAGUUCAAGACCAGUCUGGGAAACAGAGUGAGACCCUGUCUCAA
rnacentral:sRNA from 1 species